AUGGUCGAGGGCUCGGACACGGACAUCGCUAACCUCAAGUUCCUUCUUCUCUGCUUCCAACAAAUGUCUGGCCUCAAGAUCAACUUCGACAAGAGUGAUGUGAUGGUUAUGGGCUACUCUCCGACUGACGCCUUGGACAUCGCCAACCGCCUCAAUUGCCGCCUCGGCUCCUUUCCCACGACCUACUUGGGAACCCCCAUCAGUGACUCUCGGCUCACUGUCGCGGACUUGCGCCCCAUAGUGGUCAAGCUUCAAACACGCAUGGAGCCGUGGCAAGGCCGGUGGCUGUCAAAGGCGGCUCGGACGAUCCUCAUUAACUCCUCCAUCACUAGCCUCCUCCUGUUUCUUAUGAGCUUCUAUAGCCUCCAUGAGACCCUUCACCAUGAGAUCGCCAAAAUCCAAUCUCGCUUCUUUUGGGCGGGUGACAACAAUAAGCAGAAAUAUCACAUGGUUAGCUGGCCGGACAUCUGUAAGCCCCGUGAACAAGGAGGCCUCGGUAUCAUGUGCUCUAAACGCAUGAACAUCUCCCUCCUCACCCGCUGGCUCUGGCGCAUUUCGCAGGGCCACGGUGGUCUCUAG
rnacentral:rRNA from 1 species